UCUCUAAAAAAAUUUCAUUAAGAUGUUGUAUUUAGAAGAAAAUGUCUUUUAACAUCUAUUAAGCAAGCACAAAAAUGGUGCGGCAAGUGAUAGCAUGUGUAGGGCAUGCGGGGAAGAUGAUAAGACGUUGAAGCAUUUCCUUUGUCAUUACUCAGCUUUCACGUCCAACAGACAACGGCACUUAGGUGGGGAGACUUACCCAGACAUGAACCAACUUAGGGGAGUGGCAAGGAAAACAAUUAAGGAUUUUACCUCACAACAAGCCGAUUACUGGCUUAGGUGCAUGUCAUAUAGUGGCAUGGGGAGAAUUAAUAUCUGCACCCUCUUUUCAACCUAACCUAACCUAAUAUAAAAAAAAAACAUUUCGAUGAGUUACAAACAGAAUAUCGAAAUUAGUACACCUCGCUCCUAAAAUAGGGGUUAUAAAAAGAGAUUGCUGAAUCAGGUGUAAGCCGAAGGAAACGUGUUUUAGGUUAUUUAUUUCCCUGAGAAUAAGCAAAUACGGAAACGUAUUUACGCAUGCAUUGGACAUGUGAUGCGAAAACAAGGUCACUGUGUAUAAUCGCCGUAAUUUAAUUUAUCAUUUCCUCCUUACAAUUGUUGCUAUAAUAAAAAUAUGUAUUUCUGUCCCAUUUCCGGAAAACGGAUUACCAAA